GACGAACGCUGGCGGCGUGCUUAACACAUGCAAGUCGAACGAAGUGGCGAACGGGUGAGUAACGCGUAAUCAACCUGCCCUUCAGAGGGGGACAACAGUUGGAAACGACUGAUCAUACCGCAUACUGAAGGAGGGGAUUGCGUCUGAUUAGCUGGUUGGUGGGGUAACGGCCCACCAAGGCGAUGAUCAGUAGCCUGUCUGUGAGGAUGAACGGCCACAAUGGGACUGGGACACGGCCCAGGCUCCUACGGGAGGCAGCAGUGGGGAAUCUUCCGCAAUGGACGAAAGUCUGGCGGGGCAACGCCGCGUGAGUGAUGACGGCCUUCGGGUUGGAAAGCUCUGUUAAUCGGGACACGGUACCGGAAUAGAAAGCCACGGCUAACUACGUGCCAGCAGCCGCGGUAAUUC
rnacentral:rRNA from 1 species